ensembl:lncRNA
AUUGCGGUUGCUGUUGAAAUUAAACUCAAAAAAAUGUGGUUAAUCACAGUUAAUUAAUGAUUUAAUUGCUUUUUUCCCUUUGACAAGUGAAAUUAUCGUGUAUAACAACAUUUUGUAUUUACUUCAGUUAACUUUGACUAAUAUUGACAUACGUAUAUACCUUUAAGACGUUAUCGCAUGAUGAAUAAAGAUCUGACAUUUCCGCAUUAAUAUUUUCAAUUUUGAGAGGAUCCCAACACCACUGGCUAAAAUGCAGCACCAAAUCAUAACAGAGUCUCCACGAUAUUUAACUGAAGGUUGUAGACAGCUUUGUACAUCUCUCCUGAUCUCCUCCUUACAUAUUGAUGACAAUUUCAACUAAAAAUGUGAUUCAUCACCUGACUGUGUGGACUAUAAAGUUAUAACUACUGCCAAUGUUUUCCUUUCUUCCGUCUCCACCCCAAACAUUUCUGGUCAUAUGUGGGUGGAUUUCUGUGGCAGUGUUUAUUACCUGGGUGUUAUACUUGUAGACAAGACAGUGUAACAUUUUCCUGGGAGCUUUAAUACAGUUAAUCUGAAAUUAUUCUCCACACAGGUUUUAUUCUGUCUACCAACUACUUCUUGUUCAACAAAUUGUUUAUCAGGAAAAUGAGAGGGCCAUUUUCCCCAACUACGAGGGCAAAGUGUUCUGGAAUCUUCUGCUACCUACUGUUGGUUGUCGUUGGUUUUACUUCCUUAUAUUUAAGGUGUGGAACAAAGGACAUACUAUUACAACCUAGUACUUACAAAGUUACAGUCACUGUAAGUAACACUGUCUUCCAAAAACUUUCUUUAAAAUCAGAUGUUUAAGGAGCACUAUCGUGAUCCCGAAACUGCCAAUGACUAGUAAACCAGAAACAAGAUGCAACAUUAAUUUGAAUGACACGCUUGACUUUGGGUAAGAAAGUGGACUCAGUAUCUGGUAAUUAUAACUUCCCUUGUAUCAGUGGUUGAAGUGGUAUGUUUAAGAAUUUUGGGUAGGAGGCAGGAUGUAUGCCCCACCCCCCGAGUUUACAAAGAAAAGUGGUACAAACAAAGAAUGAAUACAAAGAGGUUGGUCCCCCUUUACAAGACUCCGUCCCAGUCAUUCAUAACAACCUUUACGGCUGGGUGGACUAACCGAAACAAAAUGACGGAGAAAUCAAAAGAAAAAGGACAGCAGAGAUAGCACAAGAACAGGUGUAAAACACAAAUAAAAUUAUCAAAUAAAAUGUUACAAUGUUACAAUGAAUGUUACAAUAAAAAUCUUUUUUUUUUAAACCAUUCGGAAUAAUUUCUGAUUUAAAAAAACAAACAAACACCCAAUAUACCUACAAUAUAUUCAACUUUGCAUCAACUUCCCUGUGCACAGUCUUUCUUGGGCUUGAUUGAUUCAACCAUAAAAACACAUUAAAAAUCAGGACUUAUAACACUAAAUUAACGCUAAACAGCAAAAGGCUCUUACCGAAAAACAUACGCACUCACACCAAGAGUGAGUUAAUAGUCUCUGGAACUUCCCACAGAAGAGCGCUGACCUCACCUCACACACCCACUGCCUUUUCAAAGCUCCUCUGCCAUUCACACGACAAAAGGCAGCAAACUGCCAGGUGACAUUUAUUUUUUGAGCAAUGACUAGAUUAAUAAGAUUUGAUCAGUUUUAAUAUACAAAGGUCAGAUUAGCCCUCAAAGAAUAGCUCUUGCAAAGCAGAUGAAGCUAAAGAUUCAGCCAAAUGCAGCAAAGCUGAUUGGAAGGACAUACCAGAGCAUAGUAAAUAUUGACCUAAAUGACUUUGUGAAAUUACCACAGGAGUUUAAGGAGAUUAGGAAGGUGACUAUUCUGAAAUUGUUCAAACAGUCUCCUAGGAGGUAUAUGUAAUGUAUCCGUUCGGGCAGAGAACAGUACACAGUACAGGCACAGUACAGUAAAUCAUUCAUAACCAGCCUUACAAACAGACAAGUGCAGAUGAAACAAAUGAGCAAAAAGAAAAG